CCUACGGGUGGCUGCAGUUUCGAAUCAUUCACAAUGGGCGAAAGCCUGAUGGUGCGACGCCGCGUGAGGGAUGAAGGUCUUCGGAUUGUAAACCUCUGUCACUGGGGAGAAAACGCUUUGAGCUAAUAGUUCAAAGCCUGAUUUAACCCGGAGAGGAAGCAGUGGCUAACUCUGUGCCAGCAGCCGCGGUAAUACAGAGACUGCAAGCGUUAUUCGGAUUCACUGGGCGGCGGGGGUGUGCAUGCGGCCUGAAAUCCCGGGGCUCAACCCCGGAACUGCGCCUUAAACUACAUGGCUAGAGUAUUGGAGAGGGUAGUGGAAUUCACGGUGUAGCAGUGAAAUGCGUAGAUAUCGUGAGGAACACCAGAGGCGAAGGCGACUACCUGGACAAUUACUGACGCUCAGGCACGAAAGCGUGGGGAGCAAAAGGGAUUAGAUACCCUGGUAGUC
rnacentral:rRNA from 1 species